CAGUAGCCGCGGGAAUACGAAGGGGGCUAGCGUUGUUCGGAAUUACUGGGCGUAAAGGGCGCGUAGGCGGCCAUUCAAGUUAGAUGUGAAAGCCCUGGGCUCAACCUAGGAAUUGCAUUUGAUACUGUUUGGCUUGAGUUCGGGAGAGGUGAGUGGAAUUCCCAGUGUAGAGGUGAAAUUCGUAGAUAUUGGGAAGAACACCAGUGGCGAAGGCGACUCUCUGGUCCUUUACUGACGCUGAGGCGCGAAAGCGUGGGGAGCGAACAGGAUUAGAUACCCGUGUAGUCCCUGUCUCUUAUAC
rnacentral:rRNA from 1 species